AAUAUUGCACAAUGGGGGCAACCCUGAUGCAGCCAUGCCGCGUGUGUGAAGAAGGCCUUCGGGUUGUAAAGCACUUUCAGUUGUGAGGAAAGGUUAGUAGUUAAUACCUGCUAGCUGUGACGUUAACAACAGAAGAAGCACCGGCUAACUCCGUGCCAGCAGCCGCGGUAAUACGGAGGGUGCGAGCGUUAAUCGGAAUUACUGGGCGUAAAGCGCACGCAGGCGGUCUGUUAAGCUAGAUGUGAAAGCCCCGCGCUCAACGUGGGAGGGUCAUUUAGAACUGGCAGACUAGAGUCUUGGAGAGGGGAGUGGAAUUCCAGGUGUAGCGGUGAAAUGCGUAGAGAUCUGGAGGAACAUCAAUGGCGAAGGCAACUCCCUGGCCAAAGACUGACGCUCAUGUGCGAAAGUGUGGGUAGCGAACAGGAUUAGAUACCCUGGUAGUCCACACCGUAAACGCUGUCUACUAGCUGUUUGUGGAUUUAAUUCGUGAGUAGCGAAGCUAACGCGAUAAGUAGACCCGCUGGGGAGUACCGGCCGCAAGGGUAAAACUCAAA
rnacentral:rRNA from 1 species